rnacentral:rRNA from 1 species
GUGCCAGCCGCCGCGGUAAUACGAACCGUCCAAACGUUAUUCGGAUUCAUUGGGCUUAAAGGGUACGUAGGCGGCCCUGUUAGUCGGGUGUGAAAUCCCUCGGCUCAACCGAGGAACUGCGCCCGAUACUGCAGGGCUUGAGGGAGACAGAGGUAAGCGGAACUGAUGGUGGAGCGGUGAAAUGCGUUGAUAUCAUCAGGAACACCAGUGGCGAAAGCGGCUUACUGGGUCUCUUCUGACGCUGAGGUACGAAAGCUAGGGGAGCGAACGGGAUUAGAAACCCCGGUAGUCC